AAAAGGAAACUAAUCAUCUCAACAAAUACUCCCACCUAAGUUUGCAUUUACAAGGGGCGUUGGAAUCGGCCCUUUGCUACAAAUGUUAAUUAAGCUUCACAGUGUGUGAGGCGUAUCAUUAUUCCCAUUUUAGUGAUGGCCACUAUGGGCAAAGUCACCGAGUAACCCAAGGUCACAGGCUUAAAAAGGUCUGGAUACUUAUCAUUUCAGGUAGUGGUUCCAAUGGGAACAUUUAUUUGGUGGUGAAAAAAAUUAUGUAAUAUAGCCCAGCAUGCUUCCGGUGCUCACUCUAGGAAACGGAUUUAUUUCCCAAGUAAAGUUUGUCUCUUAAAUGGAGUUGGAAUGAGGCUGUGGCUAGGAAGUCCUGACACCCAAGGGCCAGUGAGUGUCUCAGAAACCAGUGAAAGGCGGAGAUCCGGCUGGGGGAGUGGAGAAGCUGGGUCGGGGCCGGCGGCAAGGGGGGGGCGAGGUAGGAGGGAGACCAGGUCAACCGUCCCUUCCCCCACCGGUCCUCUUAGGGGUGGUGGAGAUGUGGGCCGCAGAGCUGCGUGGCUGGGGCUGUGCGGAUUCCCUAAACGCCGCACUUGCGCACAGCCCCUUACGUAACUGUCCGCGCCGGGGAUUCCCUAGAGGGGGUCAUUCUAUUCAACCAUUACACACACCCCGGGCUGGUGCCGCUGCGCCUCCGCCGCCUCACAAAAUGGCGGCGCCCAUAGAGGAGACAGCGGCCGCCUCCUCGGCCCCAUUUUGUGGGAGGCGAGAGAUCUGUCAACAUGGAAUACCUCGGCUGAGGAUGCAUCCGAGUUUGGAGAUUCUGCUUAAGGGAUGGAGCCGAGGGGACCCCGUUCAACGGAAAAUGUCAGCGACUUCUGUUACCUCCAUGCUUUUUUUUUUUUUUCCAUUUUCUCGAAGGAAGCUCCAGAAGCUGCCGGGGAAAGAGCCAGGAGAAAGGGAGAGCUGAAGAUACAGAAUAGAGUGUAAAUAAAUAAUAAAGAAUUCCUAAGAAGGCAGAAGAAGUGACAUCCUGUGGAUUCAUGUGUCUUGAACAGGAGAAAGGAUACCUCUUCCACUAACCAGAGCUAUGUGAACACAGUAACCAAGAUACCCACAAUGAGCUGCACUAGAUGGGAUCUACCAGCACAGUGUAAGGUCCUUCAAACUGAAAGACCAAGAAAACGCAUUUCUUCAGGAGCCGGGGUCAGAGAAAAUUUUGAGUCAGUAAAGAUUACUAUUCAAAAGAACGUGCUACUUAUAAAAGCCAAGAAUUAACUCAUAAAUUUUCGAAUUUAAUUAGAAACCCUCCUAAAUAUAUUUUUAAUAUAGUGAUAGACACAAGCAAGGAUUAGUUGAAAAGUGAAGGCCUGUUUAAUGUUUAAAAAUGUCUAUUGAAUAUUGAAUGCAGAUGGCAUAGGCAUCAAAUAACUAUACUAUAUGGCUAUGUCAUUAUUCCCAACUGUCAGUCACUGAGUUGGAAAGUAGAUUCAACUAUAGAUUGAUUUUUUUUUUUCCAAAAUAUUGUUUUAAAAUGUUUUAUUCACUAACCAUUUCCUCUCCUCCUACACCUGGCUAAUGGACAGUCCUAUGUUGAUUCCCUUGCCACUGAGCCCAUUUGAGUUUGUUACUCCGGUUCCACUGUGCUUUAAAAUCUACCAUUUAACUAAAUCAGCUGAAAGUUAAAACCAAUCAUGUUAUGUUAACCUUAAAUACAGCUGCUUUUACUGAAUUGCCAAUUUGUGUGCAAUCAUCAGCUUGUAUUGAGGGAUGCAAUAAUAAAAUAUCUUCAUAAACUAUGUACUAAAAUAUAGUGAUUACUGUAAGUACGGUAAGUGUUCAUUUUAAUUUUGGGGGGACAGUCUCAGUUUAUACCCGUUGUCCCAGCAUCAUGUUUAAUAGUUCCCCUUUCACUCUCAAAAGGUGCCACAGUUACAUGAUCAGGGUGUUGUUCUUUUCAUUAUACAAUGUCCUAUUUAUGAGGUACUUUGUGAGAAACUUUUGAUCCUGUUCAUAGGGAUCAGUCAUAUCUGUGCUUCUGAACAAUUGGGUUGUUUUUAUUAUAUACACAUGGUGACUCAUAACUACUCAGGUAGCCCUUUUUAAGUUGACCUUAGAAAGCCAGAUUUGCAAGCUGCCUCAAAACAAGCUCAGUGGUAUACAUUUUUAUUUUAAUCUUAUUUCUCUGUUUUUUCUUCUUGUUUCUUUUUUUCUCACCUAUUUCUAAUAUGUAUCUUGAAUUUUAUGCAUUCUUGUCAGCUGUCUUAAGUUCUUUUUGAGAUAAGGCAAUGAGUAAAGCACAAAACAAAUAUAUUGCUUCUAGAACUUAUCUGAUAUACUGGAAUGACUGAAAACAGCUUUUUUUCAACUUCACUGUUUAAUGUUUCCCAUUUUUGUCUCUUUCUUUGAUCCAUGAUAAGUUUUGAAGAGAUUGUCAGAUUUUUACCAAAUUUUUGAUACAUCAUUAAGAGAUGAAGGUUCCUUACUACAAAGUUGUUCUCUGAUCAAUUUGCACCUUAAAACAAAAUACAGCUGGUAACAUUUUUCAAAUGGUUUUAUCUUCUGUGAUUGACAGAGCUUGAAUAGAGAGGCAGUCCAGCUCAGUGGGGAGAAAAAAAGCGCGCAAAAUUUGUUAUCAGAUAAACCUAUCCCUGCCACUUACUAUGUGACUCUGAGAAAGUCUCUAAGUUAUCUAAGUCUCACAUCUUUCACGUAGCUUAUACAUAAUAUUACCUAAUUUGUAGAGAAAUGAGACAACAUGCAUUCAGUACCUGGCAAAUAGGUAUACAGUAAAUUUUACCUACCAUUAUUGUUGUUACCUUUCCGAUUUACAAGUCACUGACAAUAGGGGUUUUGCACUUGAUAAGAACUCUGACUUUUUUUUUUUUAAACAAAAGGGUUUGAAAAUUAAACUGUUUAUGACUUAUCCACUGGCAUCAUAGCAAUCCAGAAUAUUUUUGAAAAGGCUCUCCCGUAGCUAAACACUUAGGCACUGGGUAAAGUACAAUAAACAAACAUUUUUUUUUUUAAAGAUUUUAUUUAUUUAUUUGACAGAGAUAGAGACAG